rnacentral:piRNA from 1 species
GAGAUUACUGACAAGAUUUCUCAAGGGC